CCUACGGGAGGCAGCAGUGAGGAAUAUUGGUCAAUGGACGAGAGUCUGAACCAGCCAAGUAGCGUGAAGGAUGACUGCCCUAUGGGUUGUAAACUUCUUUUGUCAAGGGACAAAACCAGGCUCGAGAGCCUGAUCGAGGGUACUUGAAGAAAAAGCAUCGGCUAACUCCGUGCCAGCAGCGGCGGUAAUACGGAGGAUGCGAGCGUUAUCCGGAUUUAUUGGGUUUAAAGGGUGCGUAGGGGGACUGUUAAGUCAGUGGUAAAAGCCCGGGGCUCAACCCUGGCGAGCCGUUGAUACUGGCUGUCUUGAGAUGACUAGAGGUAUGCGGAAUGCGCGGUGUAGCGGUGAAAUGCUUAGAUAUUGCGCAGAACUCCGAUUGCGAAGGCAGCAUACCGGCGGCGGUCUGACGCCGAGGCACGAAAGCGUGGGUAUCGAACAGGAUUAGAUACCCCGGUAGUC
rnacentral:rRNA from 1 species